ensembl:lncRNA
AUGCCGUGUGUGAACAGUUACUUUAUCUUCUGGAUUUUAGGACUGCUUAUUUUUGAUGUUCAAUUUAUACAUGGUUUGAAUGCAUGUCGGAAAGAUCAAAUCAGCAAUGUCAGUUUAACUACUGCGCUUCAGUCUGAAGUCAUGCUGCCCUGUUUCUUUGAAUCAGACUUCUUGAAUUCAAACCAGACAAAUGAAUCUUGCGUGGUGUGGACUCACCUCAGUUCAACAAACAAUGAAAUUGUGGAGAUCAGUCUGGAUGGUGAGGCUAAAUUCUGGAAUAACCGACAUGGACGGAUUAAGACAUUCCCAAAAUUAGUAGAGUCUGAACUUCUGGACUUCUCCAUCAAGAUCCGUAAUGUGCAGCAGUCUGAUUUAGGUGUUUACCACUGCUCACUGUUCAGAGAGACUAGCUGUCUCCUAGCCUAUAAGAGGAUUGAACUACAAAACGAACCAGCUGUUGUUUCAGUGGAUUCUCUGACUUGGCUGAUCCCAACUGGAGUGGCAGGAGGAGCAGCACUGCUAGUAGUGCUACUUGUGCUUCUUGUUGUUGCAUGUAAAUUCUUCAAACGUAAGUACCAUUUUAGAAUUUCAUGUAAACAGCUCUUCUUUGAAAUCUUUAACACUAUAUAUUGAUGUUAAUAAUUUGUAAAUAUACAUACAUAAUUAUUGACACAGAAAUUUAACCGAUAUAAAGAUUUAUGGCAUGACGUAUUAUUAACUUGUUUUUUUAUGCUGCUUUCAACUGCUUUCUGAAUCAUUUAACUAUGGAGUUACAGGUCAAGAAAAUAACAUCACUGAGCCUGUCUAUGGUAGGUUUUCAGCUCAUUAUAACUAUAAUUUAGUUUGAAAGCUCUACAAUUUGACUUAAUUGUACACUAAACUUUGUAGUCAAAUAUGUUUCUAUUAAAUUUGUGCAGAGAACACCUCAAGUAAAGUUCACUAACAGAGCAAAGUUCACUAAUGAAAACGGUAAGUAUGAUCUUACAUUUGUGACUAUAGAUGAAAUCAUAUUAGGAGUGCGCAUUGUCACAUGUCCUUCUUGUGUAAUUUCACUAUGAAAAAUAUGUAGAUUUUUGUUGAUAACUUAGAAACUAACUUUGAUGAAAACAUAUUAGUUUGUACUUAUAUAAAGGGGAAAUUGUAUCAUCUAUCAAACUGAUUAAUGUUAUUUAGUGAUUUUUUUUACGCAUUUAGGCUAUUUGUUUAACAGUCAGAAGAAGGGGAAGUUAAAAUAUAAGAUAAAAGAAGUUUUAUUAAAGCUUUCUUUUUCUUUUUUUUCUAUAGGAGUGUCACUCAGCAAUCCAACCUAUAGUUAAAAUUCACAACUGCAAUAAUGUGGAACAUCAAUAAAUAUGUGGAAUUCAUUAUACA